rnacentral:misc_RNA from 1 species
GAAAAUAUGUGGCCAGUCUUUCUCUCUUGUUAUCUUUUCUUCUUCACCAUAACUACAAGUUAUAGUUUCUCUUACAGGGAUAACUUCUUUAUUUUUUUUUUCAAGAAAGUAUGGAUAGUGAAUCUUGUAAACCUCACAUAUUUUUCUUCCCCUUCAUGGCUCAUGGCCAUAUCAUACCAGCAGUGGACAUGGCCAAACUAUUUGCUUCACGAGGCUUAAAGGCAACCAUAGUCACCACUCCUCUCAAUGAGCCUCUCAUCUCCAAACCAAUCCAAAGAUCCCAAAAUUUGGGUCUUGAAAUUGACAUCAAAAUACUCAAGUUUCCUACCAUUGAAGAUGGAUUACCAGAAGGAUGUGAAAAUCUAGACUUCAUCACUUCACAAAAUAUGGGGUGGGAUAUGUUGACUAAAUUUUUCACAGCGACAGCACUGUUUCGAGAGCCCCUUGAACAGCUCCUGAGCGAUUGCCGUCCUGAGUGCCUUGUUGCCGACAUGUUCUUCCCUUGGGCUACUGAUGCUGCUGCCAAAUUUGGGAUUCCAAGGCUUGUGUUUCAUGGCACUAGUUUCUUUGCUUUAUGUACUACAAUGUGUAUUGCACUGUAUCAGCCACAUAAGACAGUUGCAUCAGAUUCAGAACUGUUUCUUGUGCCUAAUCUUCCUGGAGAUAUAAAGCUCUCGCAAAAGCAAUUGCCAAUUUUUGCAAACGAAGAUGCUGAAGAUUACUUCACAAAGAUAAUGAAAGCAUCCAGAGAAUCAGAGGUAAAAAGCUACGGGGUGGUCGUCAACAGUUUCUAUGAGCUCGAGCCAACUUACGCUGAUUAUUACAGAAAGGUUCUGGGAAGGAGAGCAUGGCAUGUAGGUCCAGUUUCACUAUGCAACAGAGAAACUGAAGAGAAAGCAUGUCGAGGAAAAGAAGCCUCCAUUGGUAAGCAUGAAUGUUUGAAAUGGCUAAAUUCCAAAAAACCCAAUUCGGUUGUUUAUCUAUGCUUUGGAACUGUAUCCAACUUCAAUUCAUCUCAGCUGAAGGAGAUUGCUACUGGUCUUGAAUCUUCAGGGCUGGAAUUUAUUUGGGUUGUUAGGAGAAACAAAAGUAGUGAAGAAGAAGACAAGGAAGAUUGGUUACCUGAAGGAUUUGAGGAGAGAAUU